UCGGCCUUAGUGGCGCACGGGUGCGUAACGCGUGGGAAUCUGCCCUUGGGUUCGGAAUAACAGUGAGAAAUUACUGCUAAUACCGGAUGAUGACUUCGGUCCAAAGAUUUAUCGCCCAAGGAUGAGCCCGCGUAAGAUUAGCUAGUUGGUGAGGUAAAGGCUCACCAAGGCGACGAUCUUUAGCUGGUCUGAGAGGAUGAUCAGCCACACUGGGACUGAGACACGGCCCAGACUCC
rnacentral:rRNA from 1 species